rnacentral:rRNA from 1 species
CACGCAGGCGGUCUGUUAAGUCAGAUGUGAAAUCCCCGGGCUUAACCUGGGAACUGCAUUUGAAACUGGCAGGCUUGAGUCUCGUAGAGGGGGGUAGAAUUCCAGGUGUAGCGGUGAAAUGCGUAGAGAUCUGGAGGAAUACCGGUGGCGAAGGCGGCCCCCUGGACGAAGACUGACGCUGAGUCGCGAAAGUAUGGGGAGCAAACAGGAUUAGAUACCCUGGUA